GACGAACGCUGGCGGCGUGCUUAACACAUGCAAGUCGAACGGUGAACCACUUCGGUGGGGAUCAGUGGCGAACGGGUGAGUAACACGUGGGCAACCUGCCCCUAGCACUGGGAUAACCCCGGGAAACCGGGGCUAAUACCGGAUAUGACCUCGAGCGGCAUCACUCGCGGUGGAAAGAUUUAUCGGCUAGGGAUGGGCCCGCGGCCUAUCAGCUUGUUGGUGGGGUAACGGCCUACCAAGGCGACGACGGGUAGCCGGCCUGAGAGGGCGACCGGCC
rnacentral:rRNA from 1 species